UCCUCAUCAGAUUUAGAUACAGAGGUCAGUAUAUAGAUUUCAGAAAAUCUAUGCAAUCAUUUUGGUACCUAAAUUUUUCAGUAGUCAUUUCUCUUCAGUUUUGGGGAUCAAUUUAGGAUUUUCAUUACCCAAAAAGACAUAUGAUACCAUUAAGACAUUGUGCCUAAUCAACUCAAAUCACAAGCACUUCAUUAAUUUGGGUCUGGUGAACUAUCCCUUGAUUUCUUUUCACUUUCAAAAUAAUCAUCCUGGUUUUGUUAUACAUUGAUAAUUCCAAGUAUUAUUACAUAUUAGUCUGAGUAUUGUGGAUCUAAGCAAUCACUCAAACAGUUUUGAUUCUGAUAGUUUUCAUUCAAGAACUUAUCUAUGAUUCUGAUGGUUUUCAUUUAAGAACUUAUCUUGCACUUUUGUCCAGAUUAAGCUUAAAAGUUCUGUUAAUGUUAUAAAUGAAGUGUACCAAAUCCUAAAGAUUCAAUACUAUGGAUUUCUCAUACCCAAAAAAAAAAAAAAUCUAAAAUCAAUCCAGAGAGUAAGGACAGGUUUUGUCCAAAAGAGAGCAAUUAUUUNNNNNNCACAACAAAUUUGAAAAAAAAAAAAAAAAGAGAGAUCAAAUCUGGUUGCAGUCGAGCGAUGGACGAAGCAGACGUUACAGCUGAGCGUGACUGGCCGCAGGUCAUCGAAGAUGAACGACGGACGAGCAGCUGUAUUUGACUGGGUGCAGUCUCGAGAGAGCGAGAGGGAGAGACGGAUAGAAAGGGAGAGAGGGCGCCGAUGGGGAGAGACAGAUAGAGAGGGAGAGACGGAUAGAGAGGGAGAGAGGGCGCCGAUGGGGAGAGACAGAUAGAGGGCGGAUAGAGGUAGAGAUGAAAAAAUUAAUUAGGGAUUAGGGUUUUUUUUU
rnacentral:lncRNA from 1 species